GGGCCGUAGCUCAGUUGGUAGAGCGCGUCGUUCGCAAUGACGAGGUCAGGGGUUCGACUCCCCUCGGCUCCA
rnacentral:tRNA from 1 species